rnacentral:tRNA from 1 species
GGGGUUGUGGCUCAGUGGCAGAGCACUUGCCUAGCAUGUAUGAGGCACUGGGUUCGAUCCUCAGCACCACA